rnacentral:rRNA from 1 species
UACAGAGGUGGCAAGCGUUGCUCGGUAUCACUGGGCUUAAAGGGCGCGUAGGCGGUGCGGUACGGUUUCGGUGAAAUCCCUCGGCCCAACCGAGGAACAGCCGGAGCUACGGCCGCACUAGACGGCAUCAGGGGACAGUGGAACUCCCGGUGGAGCGGUGAAAUGCGUAGAUAUCGGGAGGAAUACCGGUGGUGUAGACGGCUCUCUGGACCGUAACUGACGCUGAGACACGAAAGCGUGGGUAGCAAACAGG